GACGAACGCUGGCGGCGUGCUUAACACAUGCGAGUCGAACGGAAAGGCCCUGCUUUUGUGGGGUGCUCGAGUGGCGAACGGGUGAGUAACACGUGAGUAACCUGCCCUUGACUUUGGGAUAACUUCAGGAAACUGGGGCUAAUACCGGAUAGGAGCUCCUGCUGCAUGGUGGGGGUUGGAAAGUUUCGGCGGUUGGGGAUGGACUCGCGGCUUAUCAGCUUGUUGGUGGGGUAGUGGCUUACCAAGGCUUUGACGGGUAGCCGGCCUGAGAGGGUGACCGGCCACAUUGGGACUGGGAUACGGCCCAGACUCCUACGGGAGGCAGCAGUGGGGAAUAUUGCACAAUGGGCGGAAGCCUGAUGCAGCAACGCCGCGUGCGGGAUGACGGCCUUCGGGUUGUAAACCGCUUUCGCCUGUGACGAAGCGUGAGUGACGGUAAUGGGUAAAGAAGCACCGGCUAACUACGUG
rnacentral:rRNA from 1 species